rnacentral:rRNA from 1 species
GAUGAACGCUGGCGGCGUGCCUAAUACAUGCAAGUCGAGCGAACAGAUAAGGAGCUUGCUCCUUUGACGUUAGCGGCGGACGGGUGAGUAACACGUGGGUAACCUACCUAUAAGACUGGAAUAACUCCGGGAAACCGGGGCUAAUGCCGGAUAACAUGUUGAACCGCAUGGUUCUACAGUGAAAGGCGGCUUUGCUGUCACUUAUAGAUGGACCCGCGCCGUAUUAGCUAGUUGGUGAGGUAACGGCUCACCAAGGCAACGAUACGUAGCCGACCUGAGAGGGUGAUCGGCCACACGGGAACUGAUACACGGUCCAGACUCCUACGGGAGGCAGCAGUAGGGAAUCUUCCGCAAUGGGCGAAAGCCUGACGGAGCAACGCCGCGUGAGUGAUGAAGGUCUUCGGAUCGUAAAACUCUGUUAUUAGGGAAGAACAAAUGCGUAAGUAACUGUGCGCGUCUUGACGGUACCUAAUCAGAAAGCCACGGCUAACUACGUG